rnacentral:rRNA from 1 species
UUCGCAAUGCCCGAAAGGGUGACGAAGCGACGCCGCGUGAGCGAAGAAGGCCCUAGGGUUGUAAAGCUCUGUCCAGGGUUAUGAAAUAUAGAUGGGUUAAUACCCCAUUUAUUUGACAAAAGCCCAAAAGGAAGCCACGGCUAACUCUGUGCCAGCAGCCGCGGUAAUACAGAGGUGGCGAGCGUUGUUCGGUAUUAUUGGGCGUAAAGAGCACGUAGGUGGUUUUGUAAGUCAGGUGUGAAAGCCUUCUGUUCAAAGGAAGAACGGCAUCUGAAACUGCAGAUCUUGAGUGUAGGAGGGGAGAGUGGAACUUCUGGUGGAGCGGUGAAAUGCGUAGAUAUCAGAAGGAACGUCGGCGGCGAAAGCGACUCUCUGGCCUAUUACUGACACUGAGUGUGCGAAAGUUAGGGGAGCAAACGGGAUUAGAUACCCCGGUAGUCCUAACUGUAAACGAUGGGCACUAAGUAGAGGGGUUUU